rnacentral:rRNA from 1 species
GAUGAACGCUGGCGGCGUGCCUAAUACAUGCAAGUCGAGCGAACAGACGAGGAGCUUGCUCCUCUGACGUUAGCGGCGGACGGGUGAGUAACACGUGGAUAACCUACCUAUAAGACUGGGAUAACUUCGGGAAACCGGAGCUAAUACCGGAUAAUAUAUUGAACCGCAUGGUUCAAUAGUGAAAGACGGUUUUGCUGUCACUUAUAGAUGGAUCCGCGCCGCAUUAGCUAGUUGGUAAGGUAACGGCUUACCAAGGCAACGAUGCGUAGCCGACCUGAGGGGGAGGGUGGCCCACCUGGGAACUGCAACACGUCCAAGACACCACGGGGGGGAGAGGGGGGGAAAUUUGCCGAAAGGGGAGAGGACCGGACGGAGCAACGCCGGGGGGGAAAUAAGGGUUUAGGGAUAGUAAAACUCUUUAAUGGGGGAAAAAAAAAUGUGUAAGUAACUAUGCACGUCUUGACGGUCCCUAAUAAAAAACCCCGGGCAAACUACGUG